GACGAACGCUGGCGGCGCGCCUAACACAUGCAAGUCGAACGAGAGAGAGGAAGCUUGCUUCCUUAAUCGAGUGGCGAACGGGUGAGUAACGCGUGAGGAACCUGCCUCAAAGAGGGGGACAACAGUUGGAAACGACUGCUAAUACCGCAUAAGCCCACAGCUCGGCAUCGAGCAGAGGGAAAAGGAGUGAUCCGCUUUGAGAUGGCCUCGCGUCCGAUUAGCUGGUUGGUGAGGUAACGGCCCACCAAGGCAACGAUCGGUAGCCGGACUGAGAGGUUGAACGGCCACAUUGGGACUGAGACACGGCCCAGACUCCUACGGGAGGCAGCAGUGGGGAAUAUUGCACAAUGGGGGAAACCCUGAUGCAGCGACGCCGCGUGGAGGAAGAAGGUCUUCGGAUUGUAAACUCCUGUUGUUGAGGAAGAUAAUGACGGUACUCAACAAGGAAGUGACGGCUAACUACGUGCCAGCAGCCGCGGUAAAACGUAGGUCACAAGCGUUGUCCGGAAUUACUGGGUGUAAAGGGAGCGCAGGCGGGAAGACAAGUUGGAAGUGAAAUCUAUGGGCUCAACCCAUAAACUGCUUUCAAAACUGUUUUUCUUGAGUAGUGCAGAGGUAGGCGGAAUUCCCGGUGUAGCGGUGGAAUGCGUAGAUAUCGGGAGGAACACCAGUGGCGAAGGCGGCCUACUGGGCACCAACUGACGCUGAGGCUCGAAAGUGUGGGUAGCAAACAGG
rnacentral:rRNA from 1 species